rnacentral:rRNA from 1 species
ACGCCGCGUGAGCGAAGAAGGUCUUCGGAUCGUAAAGCUCUGUUGUUAGGGAAGAACAAGUACCGGAGUAACUGUCGGUACCUUGACGGUACCUAACCAGAAAGCCACGGCUAACUACGUGCCAGCAGCCGCGGUAAUACGUAGGUGGCAAGCGUUGUCCGGAAUCAUUGGGCGUAAAGCGCGCGCAGGCGGUCCUUUAAGUCUGAUGUGAAAUCUUGCGGCUCAACCGCAAGCGGUCAUUGGAAACUGGGGGACUUGAGUGCAGGAGAGGAAAGCGGAAUUCCAUGUGUAGCGGUGAAAUGCGUAGAGAUAUGGAGGAACACCAGUGGCGAAGGCGGCUUUCUGGCCUGUAACUGACGCUGAGGCGCGAAAGCGUGGGGAGCAAACAGGAUUAGAUACCCUGGUAGUCCACGCCGUAAACGAUGAGUGCUAAGUGUUGGAGGGUUUCCGCCCUUCAGUGCUGCAGCUAACGCAUUAAGCACUCCGCCUGGGGAGUACGGUCGCAAGACUG